GCGGGCGUGGCGGAAUGGUAGACGCCGGGGACUUAAAAUCCCCUGAGCUGUGCUCGUGCGGGUUCGAGUCCCGCCGCCCGCACCA
rnacentral:tRNA from 1 species